rnacentral:tRNA from 1 species
GCCCGCAUAGCUCAGUGGUAGAGCAUUGUACUUAUGAGGAUAAACUAUUCAUGCGCCAUGCAAGGGUCUCCAGUUCGAUCCUGGGUGGGGGCA